rnacentral:lncRNA from 1 species
UCCGUUCGAAAAUAUUUCGCAUAUCACACUAAAAAAAUCAUUAACAUCAACACUCUGAACACAAUGGCGAGAAAUGGGGUGAUCGCCGCCGUCUUGGUGGCUCUUGUGAUGACGACGGCAGUGGCUGAUGCGGCGGAGCGAAGCGGAAAUGCUCAUUGCAUGGCGGAGUGCUAUUUCGAUUGUGCACAAACCAAAAUCUUCAGUGAUAAUGAAUGCAAGAAAGAUUGCGUCUAUACAUGUGCUAAAUAUGCUAAUGGAAAGAAAUUGAGGGAGCAAGAUGAUGAUAAAUUCUUCCCUUCCUGGAUUUAGUUAUUAUAAAUAUAUAUUGUUCGUGUAUUUUAUUAUUUUAUUUUUCUACUUCUUUUUUUCUUUCUUUUUCGUUGACGUUGCAAUGAUGUAAAAUACUAUUGUUUGAUAUAUUAUAUAAAUUGUUGUUUUAGUAUAAUAGACAGUUAGUCAUAGAUAUAUUUAUAACAAUCUUAUUAAAUUUCAUAAGCAUCUGAAGAAAAAAAACUAAAAUGUGAAUGUAAUGUGUACAAUUAAUUAAAUUUGAUUUUUUUCCCUCCAUCUCGAAGUAAACACACUCACAAUCACA